GUUUACAGCCAUGCCACUCUGAACAAUCGGAUGUCUGAUCUCAGAAGCUAAGCAAAGUUGGGCCUGGUUAGUAAUUGGAUGGGAGACCACCUAAGAAGACUAGGUGUUGUAGGCA
rnacentral:rRNA from 1 species